AAGAUCUCAAACACCCAAUGACCUCAGGAAACAUCACUGAUGAUGUAUGAUGUCGCAAAGCACUUUUUUUGUGACAUAUCUGCAUAAAUUAGAACUAUUGAUUAUUACAUCACGGCAUUCUGACUCCUUAGAUUAAAAUUCAUAUAUAACUGACAGUUCAGUUCGCCUGCUGAAACAGACAGACAAGUACAGUUUGACCUUCAGUUUUAAGUGUUGGAAACAGUUAGCAAGAUGUUUGCACUGCGUCGUUUUCAGAAGAAGAAACCUGUGGAAAGUAUUGUGGCACAUGAGAGCCAACAGCGCCCCGGCUCUCAUGAGAGUGUUGCUGCCACCACUCCAGCUUCAGCCACGUCUGCUGAGGCUGGAAAGCAGACUAAGAUCAAGAAGGUUCCUUGGAGGAACCGGCUCUUCGGUCACCCUGAGAAGAAGGAAACCAAGGAGGUCGAGGAAGGAAAGGAGAGCACUUGUGAGCCAAAACCAAAGGCCACAAAGACUCCUUGGUGGCGUCGGCUCCUCACAUGCUGCAAGAGAAAACAUCGGGUCGCUCCGGCUGCUACCAGCGACGAAGAAAAGGAGAAGAAAGAAGAAAAGAAGAACAGAAGCUCUCCAGCUGGAAACUGUCACCUGGACGAGGUCGUGGCAUUCAGUGUCGCUGUUGAAGAGUUCCUCCAGUCAACUGAGUUGCCCGACCUGAACCCGUUCAUGGUGGAUUUGCUCCAGGCUCAGUUUAGCAGCACCAAAGGGAGUCAAGUUGGUGUCGGUGAUGGUGUCAGGGGGAGCACCAUCAACCACUUCGGCUUUCCAAAUCUUGGUCAGAGUUGUUACAUCAACUCCAGCCUGCAAAGCCUCCUCACGCUGGAGGACUUUGUCUCUGAUGUAAGCCGCCAAGAUUUGGUCUGGAGCUCAUUCCCUGAGGCCCGACUGAUGAGAACCUUCAUGGCCAUCAGAGAUGCCCGCGUGUCCACAAGCGCCCAAAGUAAAGUCCGCCUCCUCCGCUCAUUCAAGGAGGCGGUCUCUGCCCAGGCUCCAGAGUUCAGGGAUCAUCAGCAGAAAGACGCUCAUGAAUUCCUGACCUCGGUCCUGGACCAGAUGAGGAGCCUGUCUCCCUCGCUGCAGGAGACUGCUGCCAACAUGGGCACUAGAUACACCUGCCCUGUUGAAGAUCACCUGGUGUUCAAGAUGGAGAACACCAGGACAUGCAGCAGGUGUGGCGCUCAGUCCAGAAGGCAGGAGGAGUUCACUAACCUGUCUCUGGACUUGGUUCCUGGUGGCUCCGUGGAGAAGAUACUGGAGGAGUACCAGAAGGAGACAGCGUUGGACUACAAGUGCGAGUGUGGAGGAAGCGAAUCGAGCCAGAAGCCGGCCUUUGAAACCCUGCCGAGUGUGCUCAUCCUCCACAUAAAACGCUUCCGCUUCACCCCUUCCUGGCAGCUGGUGAAGGUGCGUGACCCCGUCAUGCUGAACAGGGAGCUGGUGGUGUCCUCCAAACAGGGUGGCAGCUGCUACAGCCUGGUCAGCACCGUCAGUCAUCUUGGGGCAUCAGGAGACAAAGGACACUACAUCUGUGACAGUGUCCACCCUGAUGAGCGUCCGGACACGACAACUGACCGCUGGCUCACCUUCAACGAUGCAGCGGUCAGUGAGACAACUGGCGUGUCCGUGUGUAAGGAGCGGCAGAAAUCAGCCUACAUCCUCUUCUACAAGAGACAGGUGUAGAACAGGGUGUAGGGCGGAAGGAGCAGCGACCUGAACGCACCAAGGGCCAAAUGAAGAGCGUGUGAGGAUCGUCAUCAUCCACUCCAGAGGAGGAGCUGCGGUAAGAGAGGAGCUUCUCCGCCGUCAACCUCAAUGCUCACUCUGCAGCUGGUGAGCAUUGAGGCUGACGGUGGAUGAUGGACGAGGAGCCGACGUGACCAGGAGCAGCCGGAGGAUCCCCCAGCCCAUAGGAGGAUGGGCCCCCCGAGAGCCUGGUUCCUCCCAAGGUUUCUUCCUCUCUGAGGGAGUUUUUUCUUGCCGCUGUCGCCUCACAUGCUGUGUUAAUACACCAGCAUCUGGCUUGCUCUCGGGGGACAACUGUAAAAAGAAAGCAAGGAGACCAAAGAGGUUGUGGAAGGAAAGGAGAGGUAAGAAACCUCAUCCUGAAUUUUUUUUUUUUUACUAUCUCUUUUAGUUUAGUGAAGGAUUUUUCUGAGUAGUAUCGUAACACUGGUACCCAAUCUGGGGCUCAGGGCCCCUCUGAUGGGUCACAAGAUAAAGCAAAUGAUUAGUGACAAAGGACAGAAAGAAAAAAAUGAUUGUCCCACUACAUAAAUGUAUUUUCUAAGAUUUAUUCAUAUUAUGUAUUUCUCUUUAGCACUUGUGAGCCAAAACCAAAGGCUACAAAGACUCCUUGGUGGCGUCGGCUCCUCACAUGCUGCAAG